rnacentral:rRNA from 1 species
CCUACGGGUGGCAGCAGUGGGGAAUAUUGCACAAUGGGGGAAACCCUGAUGCAGCGACGCCGCGUGAAGGAAGAAGUAUUUCGGUAUGUAAACUUCUAUCAGCAGGGAAGAAAAUGACGGUACCUGACUAAGAAGCCCCGGCUAACUACGUGCCAGCAGCCGCGGUAAUACGUAGUGGGCAAGUGUUAUCCGGAUUUACUGGGUGUAAAGGGAGCGUAGGCGGUUUAGCAAGUCAGAAGUGAAAGCCCGGGGCUCAACUCCGGGACUGCAUUUGAAACUGUUGAACUAGAGUGCAGGAGAGGUAAGUGGAAUUCCGAGUGUAGCGGUGAAAUGCGCAGAUAUUAGGAGGAACACCAGUGGCGAAGGCGGCUUACUGGACUGUAAAUGACGCUGAGGUUCGAAAGCGUGGGGAGCAAACAGGAUUAGAUACCCCUGUAGUC